rnacentral:rRNA from 1 species
CCUACGGGAGGCAGCAGUGAGGAAUAUUGGUCAAUGGACGAGAGUCUGAACCAGCCAAGUAGCGUGAAGGAUGACUGCCCUAUGGGUUGUAAACUUCUUUUAUAAAGGAAUAAAACGAGGCACGUGUGCCUUUUUGCAUGUACUUUAUGAAUAAGGAUCGGCUAACUCCGUGCCAGCAGCCGCGGUAAUACGGAGGAUCCGAGCGUUAUCCGGAUUUAUUGGGUUUAAAGGGAGCGUAGAUGGGUUGUUAAGUCAGUUGUGAAAGUUUGCGGCUCAACCGUAAAGUUGCAAUUGAUACUGGCAGUCGUGAGUACAGUUGAGGUAGGCGGAAUUCGUGGUGUAGCGGUGAAAUGCUUAGAUAUCACGAAGAACCCCGAUUGCGAAGGCAGCUUACUAAACUGUGACUGACAUUGAUGCUCGAAAGUGUGGGUAUCAAACAGGAUUAGAUACCCGAGUAGUC